UCGUCUCUACCAACUUGUGCUGCCGACCAGCCUUUUCCAUGGAGGCUGUCUCUUUCUUUCUCAUUUUUCAUGUUUUUUUCUUAAGAUUUCUCUAAAACUCAACACCCAAACCUUGAAUUUUUGUCAAAAUCACUUGGAAACUUAUUUCCACCUUCAAUUUUCCCCAUUUGCAGCAAGGGCCUAGUUGAGUCUUGAGAGAGAAAGUUGAAGCUAGAGAGAUAAAGUUUCAUUAAGGUAAGAAAUUGUGUUUUUCAUCUUCCCUAGUUUGAUAUUUGGUAUUAAUUACUUUGGGAAAGCUUUGAAAGAUUAUGUAUUAACAUUCUUGUCGUAUUUUUGUGCAUGAAAAUGAGGAAAUAUUGAGAAAUGAAAUCUCAAGCUUGGACACAAAUGAAUUCAAGUACUUGAAAGCUUGAUUUUGAGUAUUUAUGCAUCCAAGAAGUAAGUACCCUUAGAUACUCAUAUUUUAUUAUGAUAACAUGUUUAGGGAAUUUAAGAAUAUGUAUUAUAAAUAUGGAAAUAAGCAUGUGGAUGAAUGUUUGUAAGCUUUCACUAUUUAAAGUUUUGUAAUUGAGUAACUUGAGAACUUGAGUUUUAAUAAACCUUGCUUAUAAAAUGUUUUAUGAACUAAUAUUGUAUAGGGAAAAUUUGGUUGUCAUGGGAGGACUAAUAAACAUGAAUUGGGUAUGUACGAAUAUGUAAGAAAUGUGUAUGCCUAAAAGCUCGCAACUAAAAAAACCCUUAAGCAAACAAAACGCCCUUUUAUCGUUUCGCUGGUGCGGUCGACCUUAUACCAGUUGUUGCCCAACUUUCUUUUUUUGUCCUCCUUUUGUUUUUAAAGUUUUUUUCUUUUACUUUUCUCGUUUGUCUUUCUCUUUCCACCGACAAAAUAAUAUCUUGCCUUUCGCCUUCUAGUUCAUCGUCCUUUUACUAGCGAUUUGAGAAUUUUUUGUUGGCCAACUUGCAGGGGUCCUCCUCCUGUUAGCAGCUCCUGGCUUGGCCUGUGUUUUCUCUUCGAUUGCCCCCAUCUCAGUUUCUUGGUGUCACCUUCACCAUGGAUCCUCGAUGGAUGAAAUUGUUGGAGCCUAAAACUCGUCGCACCAAAUCUCUUGAAUGGUAAUUUAGUAAGGCAUGUACCUAGGCUUUCAUAAGAGUUAAGAAUAUUUUUUAAACUAUCAUGAUUGUAACACUCCUUGCUCGACUCGAUCGCCAAAUCCAAGCUACAGGAUGUCACAACCAUUGUUGGAGCAACGAUAAUCAAUUGCAACAUUUCUAUUCAUUCAACACAAUAUAUCCACAACCGUGAUCAUUACAUCAUUAUCUUAUAAUAUAUUAUCUUAUAUAGGGUUUAUAAGAGCUAAGAAAGCUCUUUUUAUAACCCUGAGACUAUUGGAGGACUAAACUACAAAGUUUCCAAAAUGUUUCGAGCUGGAGUUUUGACUUUAGGGGUACAAUGUUACAACUUCCAGAACAUUUGGUUGACAUCGCAACUUGAGGACUAAAAUGUAAAGUUUCCAAACUUUAUCAAGUUAGCAUUGCGACCUCAAACAGGGGAUGUCACAAUGUUGAAAGAUGGUGUCGCCACAUUCAUGAGGUGGUAUUGUGACUUUGUAGGCAGAAUACAACAAUUUCAAUCCCUUUUGGUUUCAAUAUAUCAUUUCACAUAAUAUGCCAAAUUUUGUGACCUAUAAUGACAAACAUCACAAUAAAAUUUCAUUCCAAUUUCGUCAAAUAUCAUAUCAUGCCAAAUUAUACCAAAUUAAACUUAUCACACUUUUGAAAUCAAAUGCUCAAAUGGUACAAAACUCAUGAUCAAAGUCUAGACAUAUCCAAGCCAUUUACCAACCUUGACAUACCAAGUUACCACAUUUCCAAGUUCAAACACAUAAGGUCUAUGUAACCCUUGAAUUCAAGAAUCCAAAUGGGAUUAGCAUUAUCAAAUUAGACAAAACUAAGCCAUAUGUCAAGCUUAACAUGCAAACAUAACCUUAACCAUAAACACAAUAUUGACAUUCACAUUGAAGAUGAUAAUUUAUAUAACAAAAUGACCCUAUAUACAUGUCACAAUAUUAGGAACCAAAAUGAACAUUUCUACCGUCUUGAUAAUAGUGUGUUAUCUGCACUGAUCCGUCUUGGUAAGUUCCGCAAGUUGGAGAUCUAUAUGUAGAGAGAAUAACAAUAGGUGAACAUUCAAGUGGAAAUUACAACACUUACCUUGUUCAUAGGUGAGCAUUUAACUAACAAAUGUUUUGGUGGAAAUUACAACACUUACCUUGUUCAUAGGUGAGCAUUUAACUAACAAAUGUUUUGGCAUACAUUUAGCUAGAACAUGGCACUUAAUGUCACAACAAAGUGAGCAUAAGAAACAUAAGCAUUCAUGUGCAUCAAACAUUAUAACAUAGCUCAAAGCAUCACAAAUUUGUACCAAGCCACAUCUACUCAUCUCAAAGCCAUAUUCUAUCAUCAAUUCAUAAGUUUAUACCAUUUCAUGUGAAUCAUGUAUCAUAUUAGUUUAUCAAAUUCGAUUCAUUUUAUUUUUCAAUUUUAAGAUUCAAUUUCAAUGUUUCGUCCAAUGAACUCUAGUAAAACGGACUUGAACACAUGGAUAAACUACACCACACUAAGGCCUUGAAGUGCAAAGCUUGUAUGCAUCAAAUGUUUAAACAUAUUCAAAUACAUCCCUCCACCAUACCAAAGUCUUCGUGGAGACAAUGAAUACUCGAUGAUUCGCAACAAAUGCUAGAUCCCGAAAUAACCUAUCAUAAUAUUCAUAUCAUCAACUAUCCCGUACACAAUCGCGUAAUUGAUCCUAUUGGCGUGUCAAUUGUAUCCUAGCCUUUUACUAAGUUCACAUGGGCAUCAAUCAUUCAUAUUUGCAUAUUCAUACCCUAUACUGUCACAUAUCAAUUUUUGAGUUCUGUCGAUUGAAUCUAAACAUGAAUUAUACAUACAUUUAAUGAUCUUUGACAUUCCCCUAGUUACACUAACAUAUAUAAUGUCAAUCAUUUAUCUUAUUUUGUUUCAAUUCAAUCACAUUUACUAGCAAUGUAAGCCAAUUUCCACCAAAACCUUAACUAUGCUCAAACAUAGAUGUAAUGAAAAUAAAUACAAGCAUACCUAUUUAACAAGUAAGGGUAGAAGUUCCACAAGAACUUACCUUUCAAAACACAAAAUGAGUAUGUAACACCUAGUUACCCAAAUUGACUCGAGGGUUUGGAAAACUAGGAUUCAGUUUAACGGAAUAAGAAAUUGUCGGUCUCUGGUAGAAGAUUAGAAAAUUUAGAGACUGAAAUGUGAAUAAUUGGAUUUUAAUUCUGGUUCGGUUGGAAUGGAACUGACAAGAUCCAAAGUGGGAGACAAAAUGAUUAAG
rnacentral:lncRNA from 1 species